rnacentral:tRNA from 1 species
GCCGAAGUGGCGGAAUUGGCAGACGCGACGGAUUCAAAAUCCGUUUCCCAUUAGGGAGUGAGGGUUCGAGUCCCUCCUUCGGUA